UCCCUGGUGGCCUAACGGUUAAGGAUUCAGCAUUGUCACUGCUGGAGCUCAGGUUCCAUCCCUGGCCUGGGAA
rnacentral:tRNA from 1 species